AUACAGAGGGCGCGAGCGUUAAUCGGAAUUACUGGGCGUAAAGCGCGCGUAGGCGGCUUGGUCAGUCGGAUGUGAAAGCCCCGGGCUCAACCUGGGAAUGGCAUUCGAUACUGCCAGGCUAGAGUAUGGGAGAGGGAAGUGGAAUUUCCGGUGUAGCGGUGAAAUGCGUAGAUAUCGGAAGGAACACCAGUGGCGAAGGCGACUUCCUGGCCCAAUACUGACGCUGAGGUGCGAAAGCGUGGGGAGCGAACAGGAUUAGAAACCCCAGUAGUCC
rnacentral:rRNA from 1 species